rnacentral:tRNA from 2 species
CCCCGCGUGGUGGAAUUGGUAGACACGUUAGACUCAAAAUCUGAUGAAGAAAUUCAUGCUGGUUCAAAUCCGGUCGCGGGGACCA